GCCCAGCUGGCUUAGUCGGUAGAGCAUGUGACUCGUAAUUUCAGGGUUGUGAGUUCGAGCCCCACAUUGGGAA
rnacentral:tRNA from 1 species